GUUUGAGGAGCUUAGCAUGUCAGCCCACAUGUCCAAAACACACUUCGCAAGGUCAAUGAGAGCAGCUGCUGAGAAGCUCACUGAUGGAGUCACUGAACAUUCCCCACCAAGCAAAGAGGUCGUGGUCAAGGUCCAUGAGUCAUGUACAUCAACCAUAAAUCAGGACUUCUUGGACUGGUGGAAGUGGGAUAGUAUUGGAGCAGCAUGCGAGCCAAAGUGCGGAGGGUGCCGCUGUGGAAUCUGUCAGUCAGACAGAAAAGAAAUGACUCUUGCUGAGGAAAGAGAGCCUGAGGUGGUAAGGGAAGGUCUCACCUAUGUCACAGGAGACAGCCACAGCAAAGACCCACAUUGGCCUGCCAGCUAUCCUUGUUUGGAGGACCCAGCUUCUAUACCAAAUAACAAAUGGACGGUUGAAGACACAUUUCUCAGGACAGAGAAACAGCUUUCUAGAGAACCUGAGUGGAAAAGUGCCUACACGGCUCAGGUGCACGGCAUGGUAGACCGAAAAGCUGCAAUGAAAUUGUCUGAAGAUGACAUUGGCAACUGGAAGGGACCAGUGUGGUACGUGAGUCACCUUAUUGCCAUGCAGCGUGCAGAACUGAUGACAACACCCGAAUGGCAGCCGGUUUUUCACCUGCUACUGCUACUGAUAGAAAAGACACAACUGUUAAGCAGUUUAAGGACCUACAAAAAAAUCCAAAAUGCGUUCUUUGGCUGAAGCAAUAACUCAAGUUGAAGUGUGCCAGAAUAAAAGAAGGAAGAGAAAAAGUAUUUGGAAAUUGAGUGAAAUCCAG
ensembl:lncRNA